AGAGUUUGAUCCUGGCUCAGGAUGAACGCUGGCGGCGUGCUUAACACAUGCAAGUCGAACGAUGAAGCCCAGCUUGCUGGGUGGAUUAGUGGCGAACGGGUGAGUAACACGUGAGCAACCUGCCCCUGACUCUGGGAUAAGCGCUGGAAACGGCGUCUAAUACUGGAUACGAACAAGAAUCGCAUGGUUACUUGUUGGAAAGAUUUUUUGGUUGGGGAUGGGCUCGCGGCCUAUCAGCUUGUUGGUGAGGUAAUGGCUCACCAAGGCGUCGACGGGUAGCCGGCCUGAGAGGGUGACCGGCCACACUGGGACUGAGACACGGCCCAGACUCCUACGGGAGGCAGCAGUGGGGAAUAUUGCACAAUGGGCGGAAGCCUGAUGCAGCAACGCCGCGUGAGGGAUGACGGCCUUCGGGUUGUAAACCUCUUUUAGCAGGGAAGAAGCGAGAGUGACGGUACCUGCAGAAAAAGCGCCGGCUAACUACGUGCCAGCAGCCGCGGUAAUACGUAGGGCGCAAGCGUUAUCCGGAAUUAUUGGGCGUAAAGAGCUCGUAGGCGGUUUGUCGCGUCUGCUGUGAAAUCCCGAGGCUCAACCUCGGGCCUGCAGUGGGUACGGGCAGACUAGAGUGCGGUAGGGGAGAUUGGAAUUCCUGGUGUAGCGGUGGAAUGCGCAGAUAUCAGGAGGAACACCGAUGGCGAACGCAGAUCUCUGGGCCGUAACUGACGCUGAGGAGCGAAAGGGUGGGGAGCAAACAGGCUUAGAUACCCUGGUAGUCCACCCCGUAAACGUUGGGAACUAGUUGUGGGGUCCAUUCCACGGAUUCCGUGACGCAGCUAACGCAUUAAGUUCCCCGCCUGGGGAGUACGGCCGCAAGGCUAAAACUCAAAGGAAUUGACGGGGACCCGCACAAGCGGCGGAGCAUGCGGAUUAAUUCGAUGCAGCGCGAAGAACCUUACCAAGGCUUGACAUAUACGAGAACGGGCCAGAAAUGGUCAACUCUUUGGACACUCGUAGACAGGUGGUGCAUGGUUGUCGUCAGCUCGUGUCGUGAGAUGUUGGGUUAAGUCCCGCAACGAGCGCAACCCUCGUUCUAUGUUGCCAGCACGUAAUGGUGGGAACUCAUGGGAUACUGCCGGGGUCAACUUGGAGGAAGGUGGGGAUGACGUCAAAUCAUCAUGCCCCUUAUGUCUUGGGCUUCACGCAUGCUACAAUGGCCGGUACAAUGGGCAGCGAUACCGUGAGGUGGAGCGAAUCCCAAAAAGCCGGUCCCAGUUCGGAUUGAGGUCUGCAACUCGACCUCAUGAAGUCGGAGUCGCUAGUAAUCGCAGAUCAGCAACGCUGCGGUGAAUACGUUCCCGGGUCUUGUACACACCGCCCGUCAAGUCAUGAAAGUCGGUAACACCUGAAGCCGGUGGCCUAACCCUUGUGGAGGGAGCUGUCGAAGGUGGGAUCGGUAAUUAGGACUAAGUCGUAACAAGGUAGCCGUACCGGAAGGUGCGGAUGGAUCACCUCCUU
rnacentral:rRNA from 1 species